GUUAAUUUGAAGCAUUUGCAUUUUUCUUGAUAAGCUUUUUUUCUAUUUCACAUUACUUUCUGCUUAUUCUACAUUUCAGAGACAAAAGAGGAUGGUGACAUCUGCCUGUGAAAAGCUGCUGUAACACUCAAAGCUAUCACUCAGAGGAAAUGGCAAACACCCCUAUUUUCUAUUCAUAGCGGUUAUCAGAGAGUCUUUAUGUUCAAAGUUCCUGUCUGUUUCAUUUUUAUUAUGCAAGACAGUGCAGGAGAACGAUCUUAAAGGAGCAUUAAGUAAUUUGGCUAGUGGUUGUCACAGGUGCUACUUCCGUCCACAUCAGUCCUCCUAAGGGACUCUGGAGUUGGGUUUUAGCUUGAGACACCACCCAUCGGGGAAACAUACCUGUCUGUAAACCCUAACAUCCCCAUAAUGCAUCAGCCAGAUGGAUCUGGUAUGUAACUAAAUAAAUGUAAUCUAAAUGA